rnacentral:rRNA from 1 species
CUAGUAAUGGCAGGUCAGCAUACUGCCGUGAAUACGUUCCCGGGCCUUGUACACACCGCCCGUCACACCAUGAGAGUUGGGAAUACCCGAAGCCUGUGAGCCAACUAUAUAGAGGCAGCAGUCGAAGGUAGAAUCAAUGAUUGGGGUGAAGUCGUAACAAGGUAAC